rnacentral:rRNA from 1 species
GCCUACGGGGGGCAGCAGUGAGGAAUAUUGGUCAAUGGGCGGGAGCCUGAACCAGCCAAGUCGCGUGAGGGAAGACGGUCCUAUGGAUUGUAAACCUCUUUAGGCGGGGAGCAAUGCCGGGCACGCGUGCCCGGAGGGAGAGUACCCGCAGAAUAAGCAUCGGCUAACUCCGUGCCAGCAGCCGCGGUAAUACGGAGGAUGCGAGCGUUAUCCGGAUUUAUUGGGUUUAAAGGGUGCGUAGGCGGAUUUUUAUGUCAGCGGUAAAAUGUCCGGGCUCAACCCGUGCCGGCCGUUGAAACUGGGGU